rnacentral:lncRNA from 1 species
CUGGGGUCUGGAAGGAACGGACAGAGCUGUUCCCUGUCUACUCAAUAUCUGUUCCCCUCUCCCCUGCAGCUAGUGUAGCCACUUGAUAAAGUUCUGGUCAAUGAGACAUGUGAUGGCUGGAUCUCUGGCUGUCCUACUGGAUCAUGAGGACUAGGACCACACUCAGAGGCCUGCAAAAGAGAAGCUUGAGAGGAAGGGUUCUAGUCCCCAUCCCAGCCUCUUCUUUCUCCUGCCUGGUCUCAGCCAUCCUGUGACUGCCCAGUCUGCACCCUGGAGACUUUUCCCCCGAAGCAGCCUUUCUCCUCCUUGUUUAGUCCCUCAGGCUCAAUGGACCAGUAUGGGGGUGAUAUCUUCACAGUGGCUUUUGUUUCUCUUCCUGUUCCUUUGAAGAGGACGCAAGACUGUCAUGUUGUCACUUGGCAACAAUUCAACAAAUGUGAAAUGUCCCUACCCUGUGACCCAGCCGUCUCUCUCCUUGUACACACGCCCAAAGAGGGAGAAAGCUCAGAGCAGCACGGUUGGUGACAGCAAAACUUCGGAAACACGAAGUAUCCAUUGAAAGGUUAGGACAUCAGAGUGCGUCCUUCGGGUGGAAGAUGCCACAGCAGUUUAAAAGGUUAGGAUUGAGGUAUUCACCCAAGAGACAGGCGAACACAAGCCCAAAUAAAGACUUGUCUGUGAAUGUUUACGGCAAUGCUAUUUGUAAUAGCCCCAAACUGAAAACAUUCAAAUGUCCGUCAACUGGUAAACAGAUAAGCAAAAUGGAACGCAUCUGUGCAAUGGAAUAUUAGCCAUAUAAAGGAUGACGUGAAGCCUACAGCAUGGAUGAAACUCCAAACAGUUAUGCUCAUAAAAGAAGUCAGAUGCAAAAGACCAAGUAUUGUACGAUUCCAUUUACGAAAUGUUCAGAAAAGGCAAACCUAUAGAGACAGAAAGUUCCGUGGUUGCCUGGGGCUGAGGGUGAGGGCAGGGACUGACUUGCUAACGGGCAAAAGGACAUUGUUGCAGGGGCGGAAAUGUUCUAAAACUAGAUGGCGGUGAUGGUCGCAAAGCUCUAUAAAUCUAUUUAAAA